rnacentral:lncRNA from 1 species
GACAGGAACGUGGCGUGGAACCCAGCAGGGCCCUGGCGGUGACCCCGGGAUGAGGAAGCUCUGUUUACCUAAAUGAAAAGCUUUCUAGGAGGAAGUCCUAAGUGAACAAUGAUGCAUGAGGAUGCAAUCUUACAGGCAAGGAGCCCAGUGAUAACAAAUGGCUGUAGAUGCUUUUCCUCCAUCAAGCUUCCAGGAGGAGAUGAGAUGGAGCCCAUCGCUGAGCCAAGGUCACCAGCCCCAUUUCACAAAUGUAAAUAGCAGGUGUCCCCCACACAGUCUGAACACUUGGAGGCCAAGAUUCAUUUCUCUCAGGGCCCACCAUCCUCAAGCAUGGGAUUGAUUUAGUGCCUCUUGCUGGGAAGCAAAGUUCUGGGAGCCAUAGUGGGAUCCUCCCUCCCUCCCUGCAGGAGACUGGGGCCCUUCCAAGCAGCAACUGAGACCAGUCAACAACCUCUGCCUUAGGCCAGGCGCGGUGGCUCACGCCUGUAAUCCCAACACUUUGGGAGGCUGAGGCGGGCAGA